rnacentral:rRNA from 1 species
UACGUAGGGUGCAGGCGUUGUUCGGAAUCACUGGGCGUAAAGCGCGUGUAGGCGGCCAAGUAAGUGGGAUGUGAAAUCCCCCGGCUUACCCGGGGACCUGCAUCUCAUACUGCUUGGCUUGAGUAUGGGAGAGGAUGAGGGAAUUCCAGGUGUAGCGGUGAAAUGCGUAGAUAUCUGGAGGAACACCGGUGGCGAAGGCGGCAUCCUGGACCAACACUGACGCUGAGUGAGCGAAAGCCAGGGGAGCAAGCGGG